AACACUGUGUGCUGCCGGCGCGCAAGCGCAGAGCCGCGGCCGGCUGGAGGGUGGGCGGUGCCGGUGAGGCCGGCAGGACCUGAGCGGGUUUGGGAGUCCGCUAGGCGCUGCCCCCACUAGAGUCGGACUCGCAGUGCACCCCCCGGGAGGGAGGCAGGUAGCCCUACAGCCGGAGGACAGCAGAGAUGCCCGACAGCAGGCCGAGCUGGUCGGGGGCUGCGAGAUAGCGCCGGCUGGAAGGCCCGCAGGAGUCAGAGGUGAUGAGCCGGGCAGGUGGGUGGAAAGCCGGCGGCGGUCAGAGAAUGGAUGCCAAGCGAGACUGCCAAUGACUCAGGACGUCCCAGUGGAGUCACAGCGUGAGCCCAGCACCGAGGUUUUCAGAGUCAGAUGACUGCAGAGAAGAUGCUGAUGGCACUACUGGCCAAAACGGGCUUCACUGGAGCUGGGAUGGAGUCUUGCUCUGUCGCCCAGGCUGGAGUGCAGUGGCACAAUCUCGGCUCACUGCAACCUCCGCCUCCCAGGUUCAAGAGAUUCUCCUGUCUCAGCCUCCUGAGUAGCUUGGAUUACAGGCAUGUGCCACCACUCCCAGCUAAUUUUGUAUUUUUAGUAGAGACGGGGUUUCGCCAUGUUGGCCAGGCUGGUCUCAAACUCCUGACCUGAAGCAAUCCGCCUGCCUCAGCCUCCCAAAGCUCUGGGAUUACAGGCGUGAGCCACCAUGCCUGGCUGUUGUACUUUCAGAGCCCAAGGUAAGCAGCAGGAAAAGCCCAGGGGGCUCCAAACCAUAGUCCAGAGGUUGUGGGACAUGGCCCCCACAUCCCUAGGGUGGGUACCCAGAGCCAGCUGAGUUCUUCCUCAGCCCUUUGCUCAGGGCCCCCGAUGUGCUGGAAUAAGGGUAACAGAUUCCUCAGUCUAAUGGCCUGGCUCAUCUUGCCAGGCCCUGCCUCCUGCUCAGCUGCCUUGAGUCCUUACUGGGACAUGCUGCUUUUUCCACCCAGGGCCUCCCCUACAGAAACCCCCUAAUCCACUGUUCUCUUCAGGGUUUGAAUCAGGCUACACAGAGAUAGGCCGUUCAUGUGUGGGCGAGGGUCCCUAAUCAUCCCCAGGAGCCAGCACCAGACCAGGCUCUGCCAGCCUUCACAUGGCUCUGAAGUGCUGUUAGGUGAUAACGUACAGUGAGGGGUGUGUGGGCAGAGGAGGGUUUUAUUCUGGACAUGGGUGGCUGGGUGGUCAGUCCCCCAGCAAGAUAGAGGCCUCACGCACAUGCUGCCGGACCACUCGAUCUAAGAGGGUGUGCACAUCUCGGGCAGCCUGGGCAGCAGCCUCCAACACCCGCUCCAGGUGGUCCUCGUGCAGCCGGGCAUCCAUCUCAAGCAGCGCAAUCUGUCCUGAGGCUGGCAGCAGGGCCAGGGCCAGCUGGGGGCCACCAGCUGCUUCCUCCACAUGGCUGAGGUCCGCCAGGGCUGUGCCGUCCACGAAGCCAGCUGAGCACGCACACACAAAGUCUCUCAUGGGUAUCCCGGCAUCCAGCACUGCCAGCGUGGCUGCAUUCACACAAGCUGCAUAGGUCCCACCAUCUGCCUGUAGCACCUGCAGGGAACCCAGGGUGUCAGUCUAUCAGACUCCCUCCCCAACCCCAUCACACCCUUCCCUCCCUGGAUUGACGGCUGCAGCUGGCUCACCUGCACAUAGAUAUCAAUCUGGGAGCGUGGGUGCAGCUGUGUGAGGAUGGCUGCUUCGAAAGUCUGGCGGAGCUGCAGGCCCAUCUCACAGGACUUACGGUCCCCAUGUGGCCGUCGCUUGCGCUCACCUGUGCUGAAGGUCGCUGAACUAUAUUGACAGUUCACUAGGGCCCUGUCCGGCAGGGCUCGAGCCCGGGAGCCCCGGAUCUGGAAGAGGACAGACACAUGAGCCAGGCCCACUCCUUCCAGCUCACACUCCACUGUCCUCUGUGGGUCUGCCUCUCCCUCCACUUUCAAUGCCUCAGCAAGGGGCAACUGCGUUACCUCCAAAACAAAGCCCCCUGUUUUGCGCUCUCUGUCUUGCAUGUGUCGCCCUCUGGCACCUUUUAAUUGGCUUCCUUGUGUCCAUCCUUGCCCCAUUCCCUGCCAACCCAAGUUUACAAACAUCAACGCUGCUUCUGUCUCACCUACACACUCAAAUCCUAACUACCUUACAAAGGUUUCACAUUACAUAUGAAAUAAGAUCCCAAAUCAUUUCCCUACUCUACAAAACCCUAAGUCCUCACCUCCCCGGGAACCCUCAACCUGAUUUGGAGUUAUCCCCUCUUUCCCCACCAGCAGUCUUUCUGCUCUGCAUAAGUGCCUUGCUUGUUUUCACCACCGUGGUCUUCGCCCUUCUGGUUCCCUCCGCCUGGAAAGCAGAGCUCCCACACUCAUGCGCUAAGCAAACACUCUUUCAAUACCUUCGCUGGCCAGGCAGUUACAGCGCUGGAAGCACAGUAAUGAAACCAGAUAGUUUUAUGUAAAGUUCCUUUCUUUAGGAAGCUUAUGUUCCAGCGAGGAAACAAAGGGGAAAAUGCUUAAGCAAAAUAGGCAUUUGAGAUUGUAGGUGCACAAAACAAAGGGUUUAUUGUAGGGCGAGAAGUACCGCGUGGAUAAUAAGGUCGUCUGGGAAGGAGUGACGUCGGAGUAGAGCUGAAAGGAGAGGGAGCGAGUGGGGGAGUGCCUAGCACGUUGAAGAGCCGCAAAGAGGAAGGAGGGCGCAGGGACAGAGGCCGAUGAGAAAGGCAGGACCACCGCGCAGCACACUAAGGACUUGCGUUUACUCCGAGUGAGAUGCGGUGCUGAGCAUCGGCUGUGUAGACUGAGGCGCGCCGGCCGUUGCCCCUCAAGUCCCCGAGCCAGCGCUCAGCCCGGCUGCCCCGCAGCUCCCACGGCCACACGAUUCCCCAUCCCGCGCGCCCACUCGCCUCGUGCGGGCCGUAGACCACAGCCAGUGCCUUGGUGUUGCCCUGCUCAAUGUAGGCCGAGCCGUCAGCCUGCGCGAACACGCCCAUCCGCGCCUGGAUCUUGCGCAGCUCCCCGGCGCGCCGCCCGUCCACCCGGUAGCCCUGGUCCGACAAGAGCUCCAGCCCCGCCAUGCUGCCCGGCCGCCAGGUCCGCUCUCUGCCUACUUCUCUGAGCCGCGGGAGAACUACAGCUCCCGGCGGCUCCGACCGCCCGGAAUCUACGGUUUCCGGAGGUCCGCCAUCACUUCCGGUUCCGGGGAACUACAGCUCUCCGCGGCCCUGACCUCCGUGGAUCUGCGGUUUCCGGCGUUCCGCUGUCACUUCCUGUCCUGGUGAACUGGAGUUCACCGCGGCCCCGACCUCCCCGGAUCUACGGUUUCCGGCGGUCCGGCUCUACUUCUGUCUCCGGGGAACUGCGGCGGCGCUAUCGGGGAAGCAGCGGCUGGGCCCGCAGCCGUUCCCGGAGCUGUGCCACGGGUGCCAGGAGGUGGGCGCCCGCCGAAGGAGGAAUUGCCCAGUCACGCCCUCGUGACCAGUGGUGCCUGCAUUCAGCCCUUCCCCGCGCCCCAAGUGUGAAAGUGGAAGGAUGAACCCAGUGGGGUGCGACACUGACAGGAGAAGGCAUUGAGCGGUCCUAGGAAAGUGACCAGGCUGGUGUCCCAGGAUGGUCCACACCUGGCACCUCUCCAGUCCUCUCAUGCCCUCCCUUUACACCGAGCUUCCACACUGCAGUCAGGUGGGCCUCCCUUUUCCCUUUGAGGAUGCAGAUUUCCUCAUCCUUUCCAGAGAGGGGUUGUAUGUCUGUUUAUCUCUUGCCACUUAACCUCAGCGGCUUCAAAUAAUAAAAAUCAUUCUAUUAUUA